rnacentral:rRNA from 1 species
UGGGAGGCAGCAGUAAGGAAUGUUGGACAAUGGCCGCAAGGCUGAUCCAGCCAUGCCGCGUGCAGGAAGACGGACCUAUGGUUUGUAAACUGCUUUUGAACCAGAGAAAACCCCCUUACGUGUAAGGGGCUGAUAGUAUGGUUAGAAUAAGCAUCGGCUAACUUCGUGCCAGCAGCCGCGGUAAGACGAAGGAUGCAAGCGUUAUCCGGAUUCAUUGGGUUUAAAGGGAGCGUAGGCGGAUUUGUAGUCAGUGGUGAAAUCUCUUCGCUUAACGAAGAAACUGCCAUUGAUACUGCAGAUCUUGAGUACAGUUGCCGCUGGCGGAAUAUGACAUGUAGUGGUGAAAUACUUAGAUAUGUCAUAGAACACCGAUUGCGAAGGCAGCUAACGAAGCUGUAACUGACGCUGAGGCUCGAAAGUGCGGGGAUCAAACAGGAUUAGAUACCCUAGUAG